rnacentral:rRNA from 1 species
GACAGAGGCCUCAAGCGUUAGGCGGAAUCACUGGGCUUAAAGCGUGUGUAGGCGGAUCGUUAAGUGUCUUGUGAAAUCCCACGGCUCACCCGUGGAACUGCUGGGCAUACUGGUGAUCUUGGGCCAACUAGGGGCAACUGGAACAAGCGGUGGAGCGGUGAAAUGCGUAGAUAUCGCUUGGAACGCCGAAGGUGAAAACAGGUUGCUGGGGUUGUGCCGACGCUGAGACACGAAAGCCAGGGGAGCAAACGGG